rnacentral:rRNA from 1 species
UAGGGAAUCUUCGGCAAUGGACGAAAGUCUGACCGAGCAACGCCGCGUGAGUGAAGAAGGUCUUCGGAUCGUAAAACUCUGUUGUUAGAGAAGAACAAGGACGUUAGUAACUGAACGUCCCCUGACGGUAUCUAACCAGAAAGCCACGGCUAACUACGUGCCAGCAGCCGCGGUAAUACGUAGGUGGCAAGCGUUGUCCGGAUUUAUUGGGCGUAAAGCGAGCGCAGGCGGUUUCUUAAGUCUGAUGUGAAAGCCCCCGGCUCAACCGGGGAGGGUCAUUGGAAACUGGGAGACUUGAGUGCAGAAGUGGAGAGUGGAAUUCCAUGUGUAGCGGUGAAAUGCGUAGAUAUAUGGAGGGACACCAGUGGCGAAGGCGGCUCUCUGGUCUGUAACUGACGCUGAGGCUCGAAAGCGUGGGGAGCAAACAGG